UACGUAGGGCGCAAGCGUUAUCCGGAAUUAUUGGGCGUAAAGAGCUCGUAGGCGGUUUGUCGCGUCUGCCGUGAAAGUCCGGGGCUCAACCCUCGAAUGCCGGUGGAUACUGUCGGGCUAGAGUGCGGAAGAGGCGAGUGGAAUUCCUGGUGUAGCGGUGAAAUGCGCAGAUAUCAGGAGGAACACCUAUUGCGAAGGCAGCUCGCUGGGACGUAACUGACGCUGAGACGCGAAAGCGUGGGGAGCAAACAGG
rnacentral:rRNA from 1 species